rnacentral:rRNA from 1 species
AUUGAACGCUGGCGGCAGGCCUAACACAUGCAAGUCGAACGGUAACAGUAAGAAGCUUGCUUCUUUGCUGACGAGUGGCGGACGGGUGAGUAAUGUCUGGGAAACUGCCUGAUGGAGGGGGAUAACUACUGGAAACGGUAGCUAAUACCGCAUAACGUCGCAAGACCAAAGAGGGGGACCUUCGGGCCUCUUGCCAUCGGAUGUGCCCAGAUGGGAUUAGCUAGUAGGUGGGGUAACGGCUCACCUAGGCGACGAUCCCUAGCUGGUCUGAGAGGAUGACCAGCCACACUGGAACUGAGACACGGUCCAGACUCCUACGGGAGGCAGCAGUGGGGAAUAUUGCACAAUGGGCGCAAGCCUGAUGCAGCCAUGCCGCGUGUAUGAAGAAGGCCUUCGGGUUGUAAAGUACUUUCAGCGGGGAGGAAGGGAGUAAAGUUAAUACCUUUGCUCAUUGACGUUACCCGCAGAAGAAGCACCGGCUAACUCCGUG